UCCGGCUUAUCGCCGACAGUUUCCUUAGGGUUCUCAGCUUGACCUGUUAGCAACUAAGGACAAGGGUUGCGCUCGUUGCGGGACUUAACCCAACAUCUCACGACACGAGCUGACGACAGCCAUGCAGCACCUCUAGAGCAGUCCCGAAAAGGACACAGACGUCUCUGCCUGCUUCCACUCCAGUUCAAGCCCAGGUAAGGUUCUUCGCGUUGCGUCGAAUUGAACCACAUGCUCCACCGCUUGUGCGGGCCCCCGUCAAUUCCUUUGAGUUUCAGACUUGCGACCGUACUCCCCAGGCGGGAUACUUAAUGCGUUAGCUUCGCCACAGGGGGAUUUAACACCCCCCACAGCAAGUAUCCAUCGUUUACAGCUAGGACUAC
rnacentral:misc_RNA from 1 species